ensembl:ncRNA C54C6.8 ncRNA
UUCUAGUCACCAAACAGCUCACAUGACACUACUGCGAGCCAAAAAAUUGAAUUGAAGAGUGUCAUUCGGGGGGUGACUUCUUCGCCAUCCUUUUAAAAUGUUUUUGAACCGAUUUCUGGGAAUUUUGAGAAAAUUUUUGAGCAAUUUCGA